rfam:TPA: Bos taurus chromosome X, whole genome shotgun sequence.
UCCCUGGUGGUCCAGUGGUUAGGACUCCAUGCUCUCAUUGCCAAGGCCCUGGGUUCAGUUCCUGGUCAGGGAA